rnacentral:rRNA from 1 species
ACGUAGGUGGCAAGCGUCGUCCGGAUUUAUUGGGCGUAAAGCGAGUGCAGGCGGCUCGAUAAGUCUGAUGUGAAAGCCCUCGGCUUAACCGAGGAACUGCAUCGGAAACUGUUUUUCUUGAGUGCAGAAGAGGAGAGUGGAACUCCAUGUGUAGCGGUGGAAUGCGUAGAUAUAUGGAAGAACACCAGUGGCGAAGGCGGCUCUCUGGUCUGCAACUGACGCUGAGGCUCGAAAGCAUGGGUAGUGAACAGG